GGUCUGAUGGCCGAGUGGGUUAAGGCACCAGUCCUUACUAGUCCUUGGUGCUGGGUUUGAAUCCCGUCAAACCC
rnacentral:tRNA from 1 species